UUGGGGAAUUUUCCGCAAUGGGCGAAAGCCUGACGGAGCAAUACCGCGUGAGGGAGGAAGGCUCUUGGGUCGUAAACCUCUUUUCUCAAGGAAGAAGAAAGUGACGGUACUUGAGGAAUCAGCAUCGGCUAACUCCGUGCCAGCAGCCGCGGUAAUACGGAGGAUGCAAGCGUUAUCCGGAAUGAUUGGGCGUAAAGCGUCCGCAGGUGGCAGUGUGUGUCUGCUGUUAAAGAGUCUGGCUCAACCAGAUAAGAGCAGUGGAAACUACACAGCUAGAGUACGUUCGGGGCAGAGGGAAUUCCUGGUGUAGCGGUGAAAUGGGUAGAGAUCAGGAAGAACACCGGUGGCGAAAGCGCUCUGCUAGGCCUGUACUACACUGAGGACCGAAAGA
rnacentral:rRNA from 1 species